rnacentral:rRNA from 1 species
AGCGUAGAUGGAUGUUUAAGUCAGUUGUGAAAGUUUGCGGCUCAACCGUAAAAUUGCAGUUGAUACUGGAUAUCUUGAGUGCAGUUGAGGCAGGCGGAAUUCGUGGUGUAGCGGUGAAAUGCUUAGAUAUCACGAAGAACUCCGAUUGCGAAGGCAGCCUGCUAAGCUGCAACUGCAUUGAGGCUCGAAAGUGUGGGUAUCAAACAA